rnacentral:rRNA from 1 species
UGAGUAACCUGCCCUUAACUCUGGGAUAAGCCUGGGGAAACUGGGUCUAAUACCGGAUAUGACUCCUCAUCGCAUGGUGGGGGGUGGAAAGCUUUAUUGUGGUUUUGGAUGGACUCGCGGCCUAUCAGCUUGUUGGUGAGGUAAUGGCUUACCAAGGCGACGACGGGUAGCCGGCCUGAGAGGGUGACCGGCCACACUGGGACUGAGACACGGCCCAGACCUCCGUACGGGGAGGCAG